UACCGAAUGAUCGUGGGUUGUUGCGAAA
rnacentral:sRNA from 1 species